AUGGCCAAAAGUUUCUGGUUUUGCGAAGGUCGAUCUCUUCACCGGAGAAAUCAAAAAGUAUCUCUACGGCGAACAGAGGUACGGCGGUGAGCCUCUGUUUCUGCCUAGAGAAGGGGCUGAGGCAGAGGACGAUGGCCACAUCUUGGCCUUCGUUCACGACGAGAAGGAAUGGAAAUCGGAGCUUCAGAUCGUUAACGCCAUGACUUUGGAGCUUGAAGCUACUGUAAAGCUGCCUUCUCGAGUUCCUUAUGGCUUCCAUGGAACUUUCAUAAGUUCCGAGGAUUUGCAGAAGCAGAUACGGUAAAAAGACGAGGUAAAUUAUAACAACA
rnacentral:misc_RNA from 1 species